CCUACGGGAGGCAGCAGUGAGGAAUAUUGGUCAAUGGACGAGAGUCUGAACCAGCCAAGUAGCGUGAAGGAUGACUGCCCUAUGGGUUGUAAACUUCUUUUAUAUGGGAAUAAAACGUUCCACGUGUGGGAUUUUGUAUGUACCAUAUGAAUAAGGAUCGGCUAACUCCGUGCCAGCAGCCGCGGUAAUACGGAGGAUCCGAGCGUUAUCCGGAUUUAUUGGGUUUAAAGGGAGCGUAGGUGGAUUGUUAAGUCAGUUGUGAAAGUUUGCGGCUCAACCGUAAAAUUGCAGUUGAAACUGGCAGUCUUGAGUACAGUAGAGGUGGACGGAAUUCGUGGUGGAGCGGUGAAAUGCUUAGAUAUCACGAAGAACUCCGAUUGCGAAGGCAGUUCACUGGACUGCAACUGACACUGAGGCUCGAAAGUGUGGGUAUCAAACAGGAUUAGAUACCCGUGUAGUC
rnacentral:rRNA from 1 species